CCUACGGGUGGCAGCAGUGAGGAAUAUUGGUCAAUGGACGAGAGUCUGAUCCAGCCACGUAGCGUGAAGGAUGACUGCCCUAUGGGUUGUAAACUUCUUUUAUAAAGGAAUAAAACGAGGCACGUGUGCAUUUUUGCAUGUACUUUAUGAUUAAGGCUCGGCUACCUCCGUGCCAGCAGCCGCGGUAAUACGGAGGUUCCGAGCGUUAUCCGGAUUUAUUGGGUUUAAAGGGAGCGUAGAUGGGUUGUUAAGUCAGUUGUGAAAGUUUGCGGCUCAACCGUAAAACUGCAAUUGAGACUGGCAGGCUUGAGUACAGUUGAGGUAGGCGGAAUUCGUGGUGUAGCGGUGAAAUGCGUAGAUAUCACGAAGAACCCCGAUUGCGAAGGCAGCUUACUAAACUGUGACUGACAUUGAUGCUCGAAAGUGUGGGGAUCAAACAGGAUUAGAUACCCCAGUAGUC
rnacentral:rRNA from 1 species